GACGAACGCUGGCGGCGUGCUUAACACAUGCAAGUCGAGCGAGGCCCCUCCUUCGGGAGGGUGUCCUAGCGGCGAACGGGUGAGUAACACGUGGGCAACCUGCCCUCAGCUCUGGGAUAACUCCGGGAAACCGGGGCUAAUACCGGAUACGACCUCCACGGGCAUCUGCGGAGGUGGAAAGUUUUUCGGCUGAGGAUGGGCCCGAGGCCUAUCAGCUAGUUGGUGGGGUAGUGGCCCGCCAAGGCGACGACGGGUAGCCGGCCUGAGAGGGCGACCGGCCACACUGGGACUGAGACACGGCCCAGACUCCUACGGGAGGCAGCAGUGGGGAAUAUUGCGCAAUGGGCGAAAGCCUGACGCAGCGACGCCGCGUGAGGGACGAAGGCCUUCGGGUUGUAAACCUCUUUCAGCAGGGACGAAGCGAAAGUGACGGUACCUGCAGAAGAAGCACCGGCCAACUACGUG
rnacentral:rRNA from 1 species